CUUAGGAAUUCUCUGACAGACCCUUUAUCUUGGCAUUAUAAAUUGUAAGGACAGACAUCUGUCUCUUGAUUACUUUUUAAGACGAUUCUCUAACUUUACAUACUUAAAAAAUAUGUCUGGCUACUGUGCUAUUUGUAACAGGGUUAUAUUUUUACAGCAUACCAUAUUUGAGUGAAAAUGAUGGAAGAGAGUGGAAUAGAGACUACGCCACCUGGGACUCCUCCACCAAACCCUGCUGGCCUGGCCACCGCGGCAUCCACCCCGCUUCCUUUAGCAGCAACCAGUUCUUUUUCUUCUCCAAGUGGAUCCUUGCUGCCGUCCCUGCCACCCCACACGUUCUCCACCCCGCAGCCUCCCCUUCCUCCCGGGAGCCCUACAGCCCCAUUGGACGUGGUGCCUCCUUCACCAGUUCCUUCUGUCCCACCGCUUGUGACGUCUUUUCUGAAAAGGGGGCCAGACCCCAAAAUCGUUUGUUUAUCUUCCUCAUAGCCAAAGCCUUAAAGAAAAGUCUACUAUGAACAAAUGAUUUUUAACAAAAGCAAACUGAAAUAUUUUUCUCCCCUCCAGAUGUUUUGAAAGUGAAAAGAGAGUAAUAUUAAAACAGUUUUAUUUGUUAAUGUCACAUAAGAAAUUUAAGCAAGUUACACUAUCGUAAAAAAUACAACUAACGCAUUUUAAGAAUAACCCUCCCCCACCCUGCUUCCCCUCAUGAGCUAAGAAUCUAGAAGUAACCACAAACAGUUCUGUGGAAUCCUUCAUCCAGAGCGCUGACAUGGUGAUUAGGUUAAUGCCCCCUUACAAAACUUCUCUAUUAAAAAAAAAAUUGUAGGCUUGUUUAUUACAAAAACUUCAGUACAAAAGUUCAAUAUAUUGAAAAAUGCUUUCCCCUCCCUCACAGCACCGUCGUACAUAGAGAAAAAUCAAGAGCAGACUGCUGUCUAGAUGGAGCAAUCUUCAAAUUAUAUCCAGACACACAGUGACUUCUUCCCUGGAAUGUCUAUUUACGUGUCACUUGGAAGCUGAGUAAUUCUAAUACACAGCUGAAGGUGAAAACUGCUGUUCAAUGACCUGCACACUUAGGAAACGAGACCAACCACACCAGUCUCUCCGUAUUUUCCACAUGAGAAGCAGAUCGAACGGGUGACAAGGUGGAAUCUACAGGAGAGCUGAUGAGAGGAGAACGACCCACGGUCCAGGGAGAAGUCCUGAGCCUGGAUUUGUAAAUCCAAAGAGUCUCAGUCUGCCUUUGCUGUCACUGAGUUCUUUAAAAGGGAAAAACCGAAUCAAGAUAUAUAAGUUUUACAGUUACCUUAAAUCAUUUUGUAUUUCCAACAGAAAUAUUACAUGUUAUUUACAUAGCUGUCCUACUCCCAUUAAGCCGUGAAAUACAAAGAGCAUGAGAGACAGACCCAGAUUCUCCUUCCUGACUCGGCCAUUACCUGCCUAGGAGGCCCCCGGCCGCUGUAACUGACCUCACUCACUCAGUUCCCACAUUAGGAUAAGGAAGAGGUCUCACUAGAUUAUCUGUAAGAGCUGGCCUCUAACAUGUUCUGACUGACUUCUGAUGGUCUUGGGGUUUUGUGUGUGUUUUUUUUUAAUAGUAUGUAACAUAAUUGACUACUUUGUUAUGGUCUAGCUGCAAUUUAAGUUUCCAGAGUCUGGAUGUUAGAAAAACAAAAUUAGAGGUGUUUUUAAAGUCCCACUGGAGUCUCUUCUGUAAGCGAAAUGGACCCUGACCAACCCAAUAAUUUGGCCAGUCACAAAUCUAGAUAGAAAUGUUUUUUCAGUAAUGUACAAAAUACCUAAUUCCAAAACAUAUUACUGCUACCAUCUACAGCGGACCCUUAAAUAACUCAGAGGUUAAGGGUGCCAACACCCCACGCAGUCAGAAAUCUGCAUAAUAUCCUUUAACUCCUCAAAACUUUAAUGAAAACUACUGUUGAGCAGAUGCUUUACCAGUAUAAUCUAUUACCAUAUAUUUGUAUGUUACGUGUAUCAUACACUGUAUUCUUACAAUAAAGUAAGCUAGAGGAUAUUUUUCAAACUA